rnacentral:lncRNA from 1 species
GUGCUAUCCUACUGUAAAAAUAGAUACAUUUCAACAAAAGUACUUUUUAAUGCAUUUUUGGGCUCAGUAGAAUGUCAGAGAAUUUUCAGCUGGGCACAGUGGCCUACGCCUAUAAUCCCAACACUUUGGGAGGCCGAGGUGGGUGGAUCACCUGAGGUCAGGAAUUUAAGACCAGCCUGGCCAACAUGGUGAAACCUGUCUCUACUAAAAAUACAAAAAUUAGCUGGGCCUGGUGGUAGGCACCUGUAAUCCUAGCUACUCGGGAGGCUGAGGCACGAGAAUUGCUUGAACCCAGGAGGUAGAGGUGGCAGUGAGCCAAGAUUGAGCCACUGCACUCCAGACUGAGCAACAAAGUGAGAGUCCAUCUCAAAAAAAAAGAGAAUUUUCCAGAAGCAGAGGACAAAAAGCAAUAGGUUGAAUUCUGAUUUGUGAAAGAAAAAUAAGGAGACGGGGAAUCAAAUACCUAUAUCAGACCUAGUAUCAGAAUACUAAGCCUUGAGACCACUGCAAGGUUAGAGAGAGUAAAUUGAGACUCCCACAUUAGUAAUAUCUUUUGACUUUCAGUAGGAGCAAAGACAAAUAUUCUUUGGAGGAAAACCUUCUCACUCUAAGCUCUUGGGAUCUAAAAAUUGAUUGAAUUAAUUCCAAUGAAUAUGGUUUCAUGAUCCUUUUGUGGUUCACAAGCAUGAUGAUUGACUUCUCAUGCUAUUGUGUGAGAUGUACCUCCUUCAAAUCUUGCUGCAACGUUGGCACAUUACAGAUCUGAUGUGAAUAAAAUACACAUAUGGGUUCAUGCCAUAAGUAAGAGUCAGCAGAAACAACAAAAAAUGAUUUAGAUAGGUUAUUUCAAAGAGGGCUCAUGAGGCUACGAAACCAAGAACUCUUAAGGCUAUGACCAAAGAUUGAAGUUCUCUAUAGAAUGCCAUAGCACUCAAUAAUGUUGUUUUCUUGAGGCAUAUAAGACUUUGCCACUCAUAAUCAUGACAUAAUAAUCCAUGAAGAGUUUUAAUAUGGAUUUCUUCUUACUGAGAAAUAAACUCACUAAAAAUG